rnacentral:lncRNA from 1 species
ACGAGUCCUAAAAUCCCACGUCCAGUUCUGUGCCCCUGUGUAUCAAUAGGAGUUCUGUCAGUUUCUGGCACCUAGAGAGUUCACCAUUCUAGCUUUUGAGCUUUGCUGUAUUUUUUUUUUAAGUAUAUUAUCCAUAUUUCUCUGUGUUUAGGGGGUGGAGGAUUGGUUGGUAUUAUCUGACAAGAAUAUAUCAGAAGUUUGCAGUUAGUGGAACUCCUGAAAAUUAUAUAUGAAAUAUUGGACUUUCACAGUUCCUUUAGAGUGGUUUAGAGCCAUUGUUCUCUGUUGAGCUAAAAUCUCAACUUCAUUGGUUCUGGUUC